UGUAAAGUUCAAGCUCCGAUUUGAGGGCGAACCGCGAAUGGCUCAUUAAAUCAGUCAUAAUCUACUUGAUUGUUUAAAGUUUAGAUGGAUAACUGUGGUAAUUCUAGAGCUAAUACAUGCGUGAAGGGGGCGACUCCCUUUGGGAGAAGCUCUGCGUUUAUUAGACUAAGACCAAUGCGGCCUAACAGCCGCCUCAACUGAUGGUGACUCUGAGUAAAUAACGGGUGCAAGCCCGUGCUGCCGACCUGGCUAUGAAGCAACGCGAGCAAUCGCGGCCAGGCGAAUCAAUCGAGUGUCUGCUCUAUCAACUGUGGAUGGUAGGGUAAUUGCCUACCAUGGUGAUGACGGGUAACGGGGAGUUAGGGCUCGACUCCGGAGAACAAGCCUGAGAAACGGCUAGUAGGACUAAGGUCUGCAGCAGGCGCGAAACUUACACAAUGCUAGAUUGACAAUUCGUAGCGAUGUAGUGAAGAAAAAUAACGAUGUACUUGCAUUUAAACAUGCUUGUACAAUUGGAAUGAGACGACCUUAAAACAGUCAGUCGAGUAACAAAUGGAGGGCAAGUCUGGUGCCAGCAGCCGCGGUAAUUCCAGCUCCAUUAGCAUACAUUAAAGUUGUUGCGGUUAAAAAGCUCGUAGUUGAAUGUAGUGGGGGUGCUUGCGGCGUGCGGCCGUUAAGGCUGCGCCGGGCUGCGGCGUUCGCGCCAAACCCGCGCAGCUGGUCGCAUCGACCGCCGAGUGCCCUCAGUUUCGUCACUUAAUCGAGUGCGAAGCGGGUCGGAACGGCAGGUUCAGCUCUUCGGGAGUUGCCGCGUCUCGGCGGGUUUACCUUGAGAAAAUUAGAGUGCUCAGAGCAGGCAGUUGGGGUGUAAAAGCUCCUUUAUGCUUGAAUAAUGUUGCAUGGAAUAAUAGAAUACGGCCUCGGUUCUAUUCUGUUGGUCUUAUAGAACAACAAACAAGUUGGAUAGUUCACUCAAGGCUCUCUCGAGCUGUGCCCGACGGAUGGUCGUGUUGUCGGCGGGUAAAACCGGCGUACCUCCCAGCCGUUGGCAUCAAAAGCAGCUCGCGAGCAGGCCUGAACUCCCAUCCAACUGAGGCAAUGGUUAAAAGAAAUAGUCGCGGCGGCAUCAGUACUGCAUCGUGAGAGGUGAAAUUCUUAGACCGAUGCAAGACUAACUGAAGCGAAAGCGUUUGCCGAGGAUAUUUUCAUUAAUCAAGAACGAAAGUUAGAGGUUCGAAGGCGAUCAGAUACCGCCCUAGUUCUAACCAUAAACGUUGCCAACUAGCAAUUGGGUUGCGAUUCCUUUAACUGGAGCCUAAAAAACUCCAGUCAUUAUGAUCCACCCAGCGGCUCUCGUAGGGAAACCAAAGUGUUUGGGUUCCGGGGGAAGUAUGAUUGCAAAGUUGAAACUUAAAGGAAUUGACGGAAGGGCACCACCAGGAGUGGAGCCUGCGGCUUAAUUUGACUCAACACGGGGAAACUUACUAGAUUAGAACUCUGGAAUGAUUGACAGAUUGAUAGCUCUUUCUUGAUUCAGAGGAUGGUGGUGCAUGGCCGUUCUUGAUUCGUAUUCCGAAACGUCUGCUUAAUUGCGAUAACGAGUGAGACCUCACCCAACUAACUAGUCGGCUGGUGCGCUGUGGGGCGCUCAAGGCGUCGGUGGAUCCCGCCGCGAGCUGGUGGCAACACUGGCUCGCGGUGCCGCCGGCGUUGCCCUCUGCUCGCCGUCGGACUUCUUAGAGGGAUAAACGGUGUUUUAGCCGUAAGAAACGAG
rnacentral:rRNA from 1 species